GAGAGAGUAGUUCAGUUGGUAGAGCGCCAGAUUGUGGUUCUGGUUGUCGAGGGUUCGAGUCCCUUCUCUCUCC
rnacentral:tRNA from 1 species